rnacentral:lncRNA from 1 species
GUGCAUCAACAGCCUGCCAUCUACCACCCCCUCAUGAACCUCCAGGGCAAGCUCAGUCAUCUCAGAGGAAGCAAGGUGCCCCAGGUAACACAGACGGCUCACAGCGAGGACCCACAUGAGGUGUUAUUGAGCAAGACAGGAAGGCAGCUUUCUGGAUAAUCGAACGUGCUAGUGAACAGAGUGUUGCCAGAGAUACUCCAGGUGUACACUCAGAUGUAUACGUCAUAUGCUCCCUGAGUGAUUACGUGUUCCAGGCUCUGAGGGUAGGAAAAUGAAGACAACAGUCUCUGUCUCAGGGAAGCUCCAGGUCCACAGGGGAAAAUGGAAGUCAACGCCAAGUGGUACUGCAGAGUGGCAAACAACACAGCACAAAGUGCUCCAGAAACACUCAUCAGGGGUCAGCCAUAUGCUGGAAGGCAGGCAAUGGCCCACUCCACAGGGACCCUCACAAAACACACAAGGCUUGGAUGAUGAAGGGGAGAUGGAAAGGCUUUGUAGUUUUUCAGGGCAAUUGUAAUGAAUGGCAAUUAUCAUGGUAACAUACAGCAAUGUAAAUCUUUAUUAAACUGGAGACAAUGGGAGAGUGGAAGGGAAGGGAGAGGGAGAGGAUUGCAACCACAGAGAGAGAGAGUCAGGCAGGGGGAAGAGACAGACAGAGGAAAAGAAAGAGAGAGAGAGAGACAGAGGCAGAGACAAAGAAAGGAGCAGAGAGAGAAACAAAAGGAGAGAGAGGGAGAGAAAGACACAAAAGAAAAACAAAAAGAGAAGCACACAGAGACCAAAGAAGAAACAAAGACACGAAAACAGGAGGAGAAAUGGAGAGAGUGGGAGAAAAUGCAGAAUAUAAGAGACAGCCCAGGUGGCAGAGGCCCAAAGUUCCUGGGAAAGGCAGUGCUGUUCUAGACCAAACUCUGACCAGGCUGGUGAGUGGGUGGGAGGCCAGUUGGACCUGGGACUAAACACAGGCAGGCCCACUGCACCCCACAGCCACGCUAUGUCACUUCCUCUCCUCCGGGCCCUGCAGACUCCAUGCCAGGGCAGGCUCAUGAGAUAAGGCAGGCUCUGAUGAGCUCCCUGCUAGCUAGUACAUCAAUAAAAAAACAUGACAUUUAA